AGAGUUUGAUCCUGGCUCAGGAUGAACGCUAGCGGCAGGCCUAACACAUGCAAGUCGAGGGGUAUUAGGAGCUUGCUCCUAAGAGACCGGCGCACGGGUGCGUAACGCGUAUGCAAUCUACCUUAUACAGGGGAAUAGCCCAGAGAAAUUUGGAUUAAUGCCCCAUGGUAUUAUAGAGUGGCAUCACUUUAUAAUUAAAGUUCCAACGGUAUAAGAUGAGCAUGCGUCCCAUUAGUUAGUUGGUAAGGUAACGGCUUACCAAGACAAUGAUGGGUAGGGGUCCUGAGAGGGAGAUCCCCCACACUGGUACUGAGACACGGACCAGACUCCUACGGGAGGCAGCAGUGAGGAAUAUUGGUCAAUGGGCGCAAGCCUGAACCAGCCAUGCCGCGUGCAGGAAGACGGUCCUAUGGAUUGUAAACUGCUUUUAUACAGGAAGAAACCCUCCCACGUGUGGGAGAUUGACGGUACUGUAGGAAUAAGGAUCGGCUAACUCCGUGCCAGCAGCCGCGGUAAUACGGAGGAUCCAAGCGUUAUCCGGAAUCAUUGGGUUUAAAGGGUCCGUAGGCGGUCUUAUAAGUCAGUGGUGAAAUCCCAUCGCUCAACGAUGGAACUGCCAUUGAUACUGUAAGACUUGAAUACUUAGGAAGUAACUAGAAUAUGUAGUGUAGCGGUGAAAUGCUUAGAUAUUACAUGGAAUACCAAUUGCGAAGGCAGGUUACUACUAAGUGAUUGACGCUGAGGAGCGAAAGCGUGGGGAGCGAACAGGAUUAGAUACCCUGGUAGUCCACGCCGUAAACGGUGGGUACUAGGUGUGGGUUUCCUUCCUUGGGAUCCGUGCCGUAGCUAACGCAUUAAGUACCCCGCCUGGGGAGUACGGCCGCAAGGCUAAAACUCAAAGAAAUUGACGGGGGCCCGCACAAGCGGCGGAGCAUGUGGAUUAAUUCGAUGCAACGCGAAGAACCUUACCUGGGUUUGACAUGCACAGGACGCCGGCAGAGAUGUCGGUUCCCUUGUGGCCUGUGUGCAGGUGGUGCAUGGCUGUCGUCAGCUCGUGUCGUGAGAUGUUGGGUUAAGUCCCGCAACGAGCGCAACCCUUGUCUCAUGUUGCCAGCACGUUAUGGUGGGGACUCGUGAGAGACUGCCGGGGUCAACUCGGAGGAAGGUGGGGAUGACGUCAAGUCAUCAUGCCCCUUAUGUCCAGGGCUUCACACAUGCUACAAUGGCCGGUACAAAGGGCUGCGAUGCCGUGAGGUGGAGCGAAUCCUUGUUAAAGCCGGUCUCAGUUCGGAUCGGGGUCUGCAACUCGACCCCGUGAAGUCGGAGUCGCUAGUAAUCGCAGAUCAGCAACGCUGCGGUGAAUACGUUCCCGGGCCUUGUACACACCGCCCGUCACGUCAUGAAAGUCGGUAACACCCGAAGCCCGUGGCCUAACCCGUAAGGGAGGGAGCGGUCGAAGGUGGGAUCGGCGAUUGGGACGAAGUCGUAACAAGGUAACCGUA
rnacentral:rRNA from 1 species